UCCGAGACCAAGCACCAAUCAAGGGGAUCGGAGGAGUACCGGUGGUCGUAGAAGGGAAGGUGAAGCUGGCUCUCACCUUGGGUGAAGCACCCAGAACUCGUACUCACCACGAGGUAUUUUUAGUGGUCAAACUUCCGUUAAGCUAUAAUGUGAUCUUGGGGAGGCCUGCGCUGUUCAAUUUCGAAGCUGUCACCAGUAUCAGGUAUUUGGCGCUCAAAUUUCCAACAGAAGAAGGAGUGGGAAUAGUCCGGGGCAGCCAGGAAGAGGCAAGAGCAGUAUACUUGGCCACAGUAGCAGAACCGAGCUCCACUGGAGAAGCUCU
rnacentral:lncRNA from 1 species